UAGUUGCAAGGUAUAGACCCGAAACCCGGUGAUCUAGCCAUGGGCAGGUUGAAGGUUGGGUAACACUAACUGGAGGACCGAACCGACUAAUGUUGAAAAAUUAGCGGAUGACUUGUGGCUGGGGGUGAAAGGCCAAUCAAACCGGGAGAUAGCUGGUUCUCCCCGAAAGCUAUUUAGGUAGCGCCUCGUGAACUCAUCUUCGGGGGUAGAGCACUGUUUCGGCUAGGGGGCCAUCCCGGCUUACCAAACCGAUGCAAACUCCGAAUACCGAAGAAUGUUAUCACGGGAGACACACGGCGGGUGCUAACGUCCGUCGUGAAGAGGGAAACAACCCAGACCGCCAGCUAAGGUCCCAAAGUCAUGGUUAAGUGGGAAACGAUGUGGGAAGGCACAGACAGCCAGGAUGUUGGCUUAGAAGCAGCCAUCAUUUAAAGAAAGCGUAAUAGCUCACUGGUCGAGUCGGCCUGCGCGGAAGAUGUAACGGGGCUAAACCAUGCACCGAAGCUGCGGCAGCGACGCUUAGGCGUUGUUGGGUAGGGGAGCGUUCUGUAAGCCGUUGAAGGUGGCCUGUGAGGGUUGCUGGAGGUAUCAGAAGUGCGAAUGCUGACAUAAGUAACGAUAAAGCGGGUGAAAAGCCCGCUCGCCGGAAGACCAAGGGUUCCUGUCCAACGUUAAUCGGGGCAGGGUGAGUCGACCCCUAAGGCGAGGCUGAAAAGCGUAGUCGAUGGGAAACAGGUUAAUAUUCCUGUACUUGGUGUUACUGCGAAGGGGGGACGGAGAAGGCUAGGCUGGCCGGGCGACGGUUGUCCCGGUUUAAGCGUGUAGGGGGUGUGACCUGGUAAAUCCGGUUGCAUACUAACCCUGAGGCGUGAUGACGAUGCACUACGGUGCAGAAGUAGUUGAUGCCCUGCUUCCAGGAAAAUCCUCUAAGCUCCAGGUAACAUUAAAUCGUACCCCAAACCGACACAGGUGGUCAGGUAGAGAAUACCAAGGCGCUUGAGAGAACUCGGGUGAAGGAACUAGGCAAAAUGGUGCCGUAACUUCGGGAGAAGGCACGCUGGCAUGUAGGUGAAGUCCCU
rnacentral:rRNA from 2 species